CGGUGUUUAACUGGCGUGAUGUGGGACGUCCUACCGGUGGGCUUAGCCUCGCGAGGGGCGGCCCAACUAAUAUCCCGUCGCGGUGCUCUUUACUGAGUGUCGAGUCGGGCCGGUACGUUUACUUUGAACAAAUUAGAGUGCUUAAAGCAGGCUAUCCUCGCCUGAAUACUGCGUGCAUGGAAUAAUGGAAUAGGACCUCGGUUCUAUUUUGUUGGUUUUCGGAACCCCCGAGGGUAAUGAUUAAUAGGGACAGAUGGGGGCAUUCGUAUUGCGACGUUAGAGGUGAAAUUCUUGGAUCGUCGCAAGACGGACAGAAGCGAAAGCAUUUGCCAAAAAUGUUUUCAUUAAUCAAGAACGAAAGUUAGAGGUUCGAAGGCGAUCAGAUACCGCCCCUAGUUCUAACCAUAAACGAUGCCAGCUAGCGAUCCGCCGAAGUUCCUCCGAUGACUCGGCGGGCAGCUUCCGGGAAACCAAAGCUUUUGGGUUCCGGGGGAAGUAUGGUUGCAAAGCUGAAACUUAAAGGAAUUGACGGAAGGGCACCACCAGGAGUGGAGCCUGCGGCUUAAUUUGACUCAACACGGGAAACCUCACCAGGCCCAGACACCGGAAGGAUUGACAGAUUGAUAGCUCUUUCUUGAUUCGGUGGGUGGUGGUGCAUGGCCGUUCUUAGUUGGUGGAGCGAUUUGUCUGGGUUAAUUCCGAUAACGAACGAGACUCUAGCCUGCUAAAUAGGCGUACCUUAUGGUAUCGCGAAGGCCCCCGGCUUCGGCCGGUGGGUUUUUACUACCAACGUACAAACAAAUCUUCUUAGAGGGACAGGCGG
rnacentral:rRNA from 1 species